rnacentral:rRNA from 1 species
CCAGACUCCUACGGGAGGCAGCAGUGGGGAAUAUUGCACAAUGGGGGGAACCCUGAUGCAGCGACGCCGCGUGGGUGAAGGAGCACCUCGGUGCGUAAAGCCCUAUCGGCAGGGAAGAAAAGCGAACAGGUUCGCCUGGACGGUACCUGACUAAGAAGCCCCGGCUAACUACGUGCCAGCAGCCGCGGGAAUACGUAGGGGGCAAGCGUUAUCCGGAUUUACUGGGUGUGAAGGGAGCGCAGACGGCAGUGCAAGUCUGGAGGGAAAGCCCGGGGCCCAACCCCGGAACUGCUCUGGAAACUGUGCGGCUAGAGUGCUGGAGGGGCAGGCGGAAUUCCUGGGGUAGCGGUGAAAUGCGUAGAUAUCAGGAGGAACACCGGUGGCGAAGGCGGCCUGCUGGACUGCAACUGACGUUGAGGCCCGAAAGCGUGGGGAGCAAACAGGAUUAGAUACCCCCGUAA